rnacentral:rRNA from 1 species
GACGAACGCUGGUGGCGUGCUUAACACAUGCAAGUCGAACGGAAAGGCCCUGCUUUUGUGGGGUGCUCGAGUGGCGAACGGGUGAGUAACACGUGAGUAACCUGCCCUUGACUUUGGGAUAACUUCAGGAAACUGGGGCUAAUACCGGAUAGGAGCUCCUGCUGCAUGGUGGGGGUUGGAAAGUUUCGGCGGUUGGGGAUGGACUCGCGGCUUAUCAGCUUGUUGGUGGGGUAGUGGCUUACCAAGGCUUUGACGGGUAGCCGGCCUGAGAGGGUGACCGGGAACAGUGGGAAUGAGAGAAGGCGCAGAGGCAGAAGGGAGGAAGAAGGGGGGAAGAGGGAGGAAGGGGCGGAAGAAUGAUGCAGCAACGCCGAGGGAGGGAGGAAGGGCGUAGGGGUGGAAACAGCGGGAGCCGGGGACGAAGAGGGAGGGAAGGUAAGGGGGAAAGAAGAAAAGGCGAACGGAGGG